rnacentral:rRNA from 1 species
UACGUAGGGUGCGAGCGUUGUCCGGAAUUAUUGGGCGUAAAGAGCUCGUAGGCGGUGUGUCACGUCGGCCGUGAAAACCUGCAGCUUAACUGUGGGCUUGCGGUCGAUACGGGCAUCACUGGAGUUCGGCAGGGGAGACUGGAAUUCCUGGUGUAGCGGUGAAAUGCGCAGAUAUCAGGAGGAACACCGGUGGCGAAGGCGGGUCUCUGGGCAUUCCCUGACGCUGAGGCGCGAAAGCUAGGGGAGCGAACGGG